UGAGUCCUGAAACAGAAGAGUACUUGGUUUAUACUCAUGUGGGUCAACCCCUUUUGCCCAUGACAGUGGGAUCCUCUCCUUCAGCUUGUGAACAGCUCCUCUGAGGCAGAUGAUGAGGAAGGUCUAUGUUCACAAUCCUGUCAUCCCCAAUGCAGUGACAUCUGCCUGAGUUUGCAGAGAGCCUGAGUUAGGUCCGAAACAGCAACUAUCCCAUUUCUCUCUGCAAGUGUUAAAUACUUCCCUGCUCACUGCACGUGAGGAAGGCAAGUAUGUAAACUUCAUAAGAGCAAGCUACAAAAAUGACUUCUUAAUAGCUCAUACUCUCAUUCUGGGCUGGAUCUAACACCAUGCAACGGGCCUCAAAGGGGGCACAAGCUGGUUUUACUUUCCCAAGAGGGUCCAGGGAACAGCUCAGCCUCCACAGAAGUUUGGAUAACGUUGUUCCUCUGACUGUGCACUCCUGAUUGAAGCUAUCCUAAAACCUAGCUGCUGAAAUCAUCUCCUCUUGUAUGUCUCCUGCCUGCUCCAUGCCAAUGUUGGCUUUGCCUCAUGCUGGGCAGAAGGGCAGUGGGGUGAACCCCAGGACUGUGCAAUUGUGGUGGUGACCCUUGAAAUCCCAUUGCUCUAACUCCAGCAGGAUGAGCCAGACAGUCAUAUCCUGAACCUGUGGCCGUGGUCCUUAGUUUUUUCAGAGUCCUUGAAGCAUUUUCUCAGCUUUGACAGUUGCGAGGGCAGAUGUUCACUCACAGGCCGAUCUCCCUUAGCUAAUACUUUAGCAAAGUCCCAGUGGCAACAGAGAGAAAACGGCUGAUCAGCUGCUCCCCACUGGGAGUUAAAAAGCAUAAAACAGCCCUCGUACAUGAUGAGGAUGUAGUCCCUAGGCAUGUUCCAGCUGAGACUCUCAGCAGCGAGCAGCACUCCUGGGCAUCCCGCGCACGGGAGAACAUGCAAAAACAAAAUUCAAGAGACAUUUAUGCUUUAGAAAAGACAAGCAAAGGAUAUGACAGGAGACUUGCGGGAUUUUCAGGGAUGGUCACAGCUCUGCUGU